rnacentral:tRNA from 1 species
GAGGAUGCAGCUCCAUUGGUAGAGUGUCUGCCUCACAUGCACAAGACCCUGGGUUCAAUCCUCAGCACCACA